rnacentral:lncRNA from 1 species
GAGGCAGUGGGAGUGGGAGAAGGGAGGCCUGAUAUAUAGAGCAAAGUGGGAGAUGGGAGAAGGGAGCUGAUAUAUAGAGCAGUGGGAGAUGGGAGAAGGGAGAUGGGAGAAGGGAGGCUGAUAUAUAGAGCAGUGGGAGAAGGGAGAUGGGAGGCUGAUAUGGAGAGCAGUGGGAGAAGGAGAAGGGGAGCUUGAUAUAGAGAUCAGUGGAUAGGGAGGGAGAAGGAGGCUAUAUGGUAGAUC